ACCACCCGAGAGAUCCUGAACCAACCCGCCCGCCCACCUACCUUAUCGGCAACCCCAACUCCCGCCCGCCUUCUUCCCCGGCGGCGGCGCCUAAUCCCGCCCAGCUUCUUCCCCGGCGACAGCGCCUAAUCCCCGCCCAGCGUCUUCCCCGGCGGCGGCGCCGAAUCCCCGCCCAGCUUCUUCCCCGGCCGCGCGCGCCGAAUCCCCGUCCAGCUUCUUUCAUGGCGGCCACGCCAAAUUCCCCUCCCUUCCCCGUUGCCGCGGCCACCCUACGCUCCGCCCUAGCCCGCCACCACGGCCACCCUGCCCGCUGUCCCCGGGCCUUUUCCUCCCAGGCACGCCUCCACGGCCACUCCACGCACCACGGCCUCCUCGCGCGAUGUCACCGUCUUCUUCCUCUUAGGCGUGCGGCCCCUGCUUUGACCGUGUCCUGCCCUGGUGGAAUCCACAUACCACCGUCGUGGGAGUUCACAGUUGCUCGUGCACCACCUUCAGGCCCUCCCCUCCCCUAGCUCCGCCACUCUUGGCAUGGCCACAGAGUCCACCCAUCGCUGCUGGGGAGUCCACUACGCGGAAUCGACCGGUAGCACCCAUCCCCCUUUUCCCUGGCUCGCUCCUCCCUGGGAGUCCUCCCUGCGCCGCCAGGGAGUCCACCCGCGCCUACCCCUGCGCUGGUCGGGUCCCUGGGCCUCCCGCGGCGGGGCAUCGACCUCCUGCGGUUAUGGGUCGACAGCGACAUGAGGGGCUGCAGCCUACAGGUCGUGUGCGGGCCUGUUCACGGUAAUUUUCUCUGUGAACUGCUACCGUUUUGUGAACUUGCUCGAUGAUCUACUCAACUCUGAAGUCUGAACCGGCUGAUGCUGAUACAGAAUUAUACUCUACCUAACUGUUUUGGUAUUUUCUACUCACUCGUCAGUUAUAGCAAUCUGUUUUAAUUAACACGGAUUUGCACCUCGUCUGCAUAGAAAAGAUGUCUUUUUUUAUGCAGUGAGAUGAAGUUUACUAACUGUUCGUGAUACAGCGAAGCUCUUGUUUUUUGUGUUCUCUUACCGCAGAAGGGAGAAAUAGUUUGCUGAUGUGUGCAGAACUUGCGUCUGUUGCUUUUCUUUCCUCCUGUUCUUAGAGUGAGCCCACAAUAGUUUGCUUUUUUGACAGCAGAAGGGAGAAAUAGCUAUUCACAUCAUAGAUUGCACGGAGAAAGUGAAGUUCAUUCUUGUUUAAUACAACAAUUUGGGAUGGUACGAAAAAGAAGUUAUUCACAUCAUAUUUGGGGGAAAGUUCACUUCUAUUUCUGGGAGUUAAUUUUGUCUGCCUGACGGGUUUGGUUAAAAAUCAUGCAACAAAUUAGGGAGUUCAGAAACAUAAGUACGAUCGAAUGAUGCGAGUAAUCAAGCAGGAACGAUGAUGAACUUGUGAAGUUCAGAUAAGUAGUGAAGUAGGGAUGAACUCUGAAGUUCACCACAACCAGCCGCCGCCGCAAAGCCUAUGCGGAAUACCACUAGGCCUUCGCCGUGGUUGUGCCUCUCCACAAUAGCACCCCGUUGUGGCAGUCUACACCAACACAGCAGGAGUUCACCAGGCGGCGCUCUGGGAGUCCACAAUGGGGCAGUAGCAACAAUUUGGAUUCAGCGAGAUAUUGGUCAAAAUGGAAUUAUCUGAAGCAGCUAAUUUUGGGACGAAUUAUCUCAAACCAAUGCCAAGGACGAUGGGUGAAGUUCACUUCUUCUAAACCUUUUCACAUCGGCGUUGGAAAAUAUCCAUCACCUACCUCCGCAUCGGCGUUGGCGAACAUCCGUGCACGCCAAGAUCCCAGCUAUGAAGUUCACAUCUUUUUUCAGCCUUGAAGGCAAAGAAAUGGGAUGCAAGAAAGUUUCUUGCUUUUUCUGUAGCCAGCGUGAAAGUUCAGUUCACCUAAUUCCGUGAAGUUCACUCCUCCCAAGUGCUUCAGUUCAGAUUUUUCCAGCUAGAUGGGGAUUGUGAAGUAUGUGAAGUAUGUGCACGAGCAGAUGGUGGUGAUGCUGUUGUACCCAUAGUACACCUUCAAUUGCUUAGAGAAUAGGUAAUACAUAUAUGUUCUCGAUGUGUGGGUGAUAGAAAAAUAGUAGUUCACUUCACCAUAUUGUAAGUUAAUGCUUUAUUUUGGGGAAGUCCCCCAAAUCUAUUGGCAGUUCACUUUGUGUAAUUGGCCAAAAGUUAA